CCUACGGGAGGCAGCAGUAGGGAAUAUUGCUCAAUGGGGGAAACCCUGAAGCAGCAACGCCGCGUGGAGGAUGAAGGUUUUCGGAUUGUAAACUCCUUUUGUUAGAGAAGAUAAUGACGGUAUCUAACGAAUAAGCACCGGCUAACUCCGUGCCAGCAGCCGCGGUAAUACGGAGGGUGCAAGCGUUACUCGGAAUCACUGGGCGUAAAGAGCGCGUAGGCGGGAUAGCAAGUCAGAUGUGAAAUCCUAUGGGUUAAACAUAGAACUGCAUUUGAAACUGUUAUUCUAGAUUAGUGGAGAGGUAGGUGGAAAUCUUGGUGUAGGGGGAAAAGCCGGAGAGAUCAAGAGGAAUAAUCAAUGCGAAGGCGAACUGCUAGAACAUAACUGACG
rnacentral:rRNA from 1 species